AGCCACUUGAGGAGUUCCAAAUAGGACGAAACGCGCGUCCUGGAU
rnacentral:hammerhead_ribozyme from 1 species